CCAUCCGCGAGGAUGAUGAGUGAAGGAAGGAGGAGGCAAAACCGCGAACUGACGGACAGAAAGCACAUAGUAGGCUGGAUCUGGUGGAUGAGUUGGCCAAAAGCAACGAAAUCCAAGACUGUACGGAACCGUUCCAGUAAAUGUGCCAGUUACAUGCGGUGAAAGAUUCUGUU
rfam:Methanogenic archaeon ISO4-H5 chromosome, complete genome.